rnacentral:rRNA from 1 species
AAUCCAUAGGUUAAUGAGGCGAACCGGGGGAACUGAAACAUCUAAGUACCCCGAGGAAAAGAAAUCAACCGAGAUUCCCCCAGUAGCGGCGAGCGAACGGGGAGGAGCCCAGAGCCUGAAUCAGCAUGUGUGUUAGUGGAAGCGUCUGGAAAGGCGCGCGAUACAGGGUGACAGCCCCGUACACAAAAGCGCAUGUGCUGUGAGCUCGAUGAGUAGGGCGGGACACGUGGUAUCCUGUCUGAAUAUGGGGGGACCAUCCUCCAAGGCUAAAUACUCCUGACUGACCGAUAGUGAACCAGUACCGUGAGGGAAAGGCGAAAAGAACCCCGGCGAGGGGAGUGAAAAAGAACCUGAAACCGUGUACGUACAAGCAGUGGGAGCACAGGUUUACCUGUGUGACUGCGUACCUUUUGUAUAAUGGGUCAGCGACUUAUAUUCUGUAGCAAGGUUAACCGUAUAGGGGAGCCGUAGG